CCUGGCAUGGCUCCCGAUGGGGCGUUGUGGGUUCUCUUCAUGUGGAGGUUCAAACAUCAUACUUCCAAGAAGGUAUUUGUCAGUUAUUAUAAUUGCAUUUCUGUCAUAAUUUAUCUUGUGUGAUCUGAGGAAUCUGAUAUGGAAGAGUAUCUGGCUUCAGAAAAUGUCUCCUCCCCUGAAUGUGAGCAGCUAGUGACACAUGCAGCUGACAAAGGAAUAUGACCCACUACCACAGAUUGAAUUGAUGGAUACUGAGAAGACACCCCCUACCCCAUCUUUUGCAGUGCGUCAAUGGGAAUGGAAAUAGAAGAAUCAACAUCUCAUGCAGAAGCUUAAAUGAGAAACCUGGCACCUCAAGGAUGAGCAGCUAUAAAUCUCCCAGCAAGUGCUACGAGUUCUUAUUCUCAACUGUUCAUUCUACUGGGCUUUCAUUUCUUUUGUGCUCCUAGAUAUAUUCUUGGUUCUUAGCCUCAUGGAUGACUUUUGGUUACUGUGGUUGCUGGCUUCUCAUGACAGGAACAGCUGAGACCUUAUUACUAUGCCUGACUCCAACUCCAAUUUCCUUGAUUACCUGUGUAUGACCUGGACAAUCUUGAUUCACCUGUAAUGGCUUCCCUGUUAUAGCCUCCUUCUUUUGGCACUUCCUGCCUGUAGGCAUAGAAAGAUUUUUUCCUUUAAGAAGAAUGGGCUAUCAAUAAUGGAUCCAGUCUAUUUAGGAGCAAUCCUUCCUUCAUCCUGCUAAAGAAGUAAAAUAAGACUAAAAAGACUGGUGUGUGUGUGUUUGUGCAAUGGUGAAAUGGAGAUCACAAUUCUUAGCAGGAAAUAGAUCAGGGCAAUUACGUCUUUAGAUAGGAAAAGCUGCUUUUCCCCAUUGUGCUGCAUGUUCACGUUUAUACCUAAUUCCAUGCUGUUCCCUCAUUCAAAAUCUUCUCAAAUUAACUAUCCCGAUACAUAUUCAAAUGCUUAUUUGCUAUCCAGAUGCAUGAUUUAGAUGUUAUUUUGACCCAUUUUAAACCCUGAGAAAUGUCUUGCGGCAUGCAAAGAAGCACACAGUCCAAUACAUAGUAAACUCAUCAGUCUGAAAGGUGAAGUUCGGGUUAUUCUGUAACAAGUGUUCACGAAGAAACAACUCUAAUUAUAAUGAAACAUGUUUAAGAUGCUUAAAUUUCAGAUAAAUAUCGUCUGCCUUCCAUAUCCACGGAUUGUGCAUCUACAAAUCCAACUAUUCAUGGCUUGAACAUAUGUUUUUAAAAUUCCAGCAAGAAAAACAUGAUUUAGCAGUUUUAUAUAAGUGACACUAUUUUAUUAUGUCAUAUAAAAUGAUAUUUGAGCAUCCAUGCAUUUUGCUAUCCAUGAGAGGUAAGGGAGUUCCGAGAGCAAAACCCCAGCAGUUAACCUAGGGUGCUAAUUGUAUUAAGGCAUACAAUUGUUCAUCAUUUCCAUAAAUUAGUAAAAAAAAAAAGAACAAAGAGAAGGCUUAAUAAGAAAGCACAUAUGGGCUUCAUACAUAGAAGCUCUUCUUGCAAGAAUCAAACCAAACAUACACCUAUUAUUAAAAUGUAUUCAAAAAUUAAAAUAUAAAUAUUGAUAUUGCAAAGAUUUUAAAAGGGCAGCCACUGUGGAUUUUUUUGGAGACCAUGAAAUGCUCUUUGACAAGCUGUCUAUUGCUAUUAUUGUUAUAAAAGAC
rnacentral:lncRNA from 11 species